GUUAUCACGGGAGACACACGGCGGGUGCUAACGUCCGUCGUGAAGAGGGAAACAACCCAGACCGCCAGCUAAGGUCCCAAAGUCAUGGUUAAGUGGGAAACGAUGUGGGAAGGCCCAGACAGCCAGGAUGUUGGCUUAGAAGCAGCCAUCAUUUAAAGAAAGCGUAAUAGCUCACUGGUCGAGUCGGCCUGCGCGGAAGAUGUAACGGGGCUAAACCAUGCACCGAAGCUGCGGCAGCGACGCUGAUGCGUUGUUGGGUAGGGGAGCGUUCUGUAAGCCUGCGAAGGUGACCUGUGAGGGUUGCUGGAGGUAUCAGAAGUGCGAAUGCUGACAUAAGUAACGAUAAAGCGGGUGAAAAGCCCGCUCGCCGGAAGACCAAGGGUUCCUGUCCAACGUUAAUCGGGGCAGGGUGAGUCGACCCCUAAGGCGAGGCCGAAAGGCGUAGUCGAUGGGAAACGGGUUAAUAUUCCCGUACUUGGUGUUACUGCGAAGGGGGGACGGAGAAGGCUAUGUUGGCCGGGCGACGGUUGUCCCGGUUUAAGCGUGUAGGUGUGUGUUCCAGGUAAAUCCGGUUCACUUUAACACUGAGGCGUGACGACGAGGCACUACGGUGCUGAAGCAACAAAUGCCCUGCUUCCAGGAAAAGCCUCUAAGCAUCAGGUAACACGAAAUCGUACCCCAAACCGACACAGGUGGUCAGGUAGAGAAUACCAAGGCGCUUGAGAGAACUCGGGUGAAGGAACUAGGCAAAAUGGUGCCGUAACUUCGGGAGAAGGCACGCUGACACGUAGGUGAAGUGAUUUACUCAUGGAGCUGAAGUCAGUCGAAGAUACCAGCUGGCUGCAACUGUUUAUUAAAAACACAGCACUGUGCAAACACGAAAGUGGACGUAUACGGUGUGACGCCUGCCCGGUGCCGGAAGGUUAAUUGAUGGGGUCAGCGCAAGCGAAGCUCCUGAUCGAAGCCCCGGUAAACGGCGGCCGUAACUAUAACGGUCCUAAGGUAGCGAAAUUCCUUGUCGGGUAAGUUCCGACCUGCACGAAUGGCGUAAUGA
rnacentral:rRNA from 1 species